rnacentral:lncRNA from 1 species
UUUCCCAGGCGGUAGCGGGGGCAGUGGUGCUGUUGCCCUUUUAAACUGCGGCUUGACGGGAGCCGCGCCUCCUGUCGGUGGAGUCGGUUAUAAAGGGAGCAGCCCCGCAGGCCGCCACAUAGCUCCCGCCAAGUCCUCGGUGCCCCUUGCCAUUUUCCAGCCGCGCUCCCACGAGGGUCACGGCGGCGGGGAGAGGUGGAGCCGCGAGAGCUCGGCCGGGGGCCCCGCCUGGUGGUCGCGGCCAUGACAGCGGCUCGGGACAGGCUCCUUUUCCGCGCCCCUCCCGCCGGAGGUGAGGGGAAGAUGUCCAUGUCCGGGUUCAAGGCCAAACCGAAGUUACUGGCCUCUAUCUUCCAGGAGAACCAGGAGCCACAGCCGCGGCUCACGCCCCACCGCAACAUUAAGAUUACAAGUGGACACCUGAGUCAGCAGGACCUGGAAUCCCAGAUGAGAGAGCUUAUCUACACGACUCAGAUCUUGUUGUCACCCCCAUUAUUGACAAUCCAAAGGUGCAGAAAGCACUCUGACAAAUAAUGAAACAACCACCAUCGGUUAAAUUUGAUGCAAAAAUAUUGCAUCUACCAGCAUUUUCAGUUCCAAUUGCUAAUCCAGCAUUUGUGGAUAGCUGCAAACUGCGAUAUAUGGGCCAAGGUUGCUCGGGUGAUUGGUUUACUGGCUUCGCACAAAACUGAUCUCCAGGAAAAUACACCUGUUGUUGAGG